GACGAACGCUGGCGGCGUGCUUAACACAUGCAAGUCGAACGGAAUGUCCCUGCUUAUGUGGGGUGCUCGAGUGGCAAGCGGGAGUGAAACACGUGAGUAACCUCUCCUUGACUUUGGGAACACUUCAGGACACUGGGGCUUACACCGGAUUGGAGUACCUGCUGCUUGGUUGGGGUUGGAAAGUUUCGGCGGUUGGGGAUGGACUCGCGGCUCAUCAGCUUGUUGGUGGGGUAGUGGCUUACCAAGGCUUUGACGGGUAGCCGGCCUGAGAGGGUGAACGGCCACAUUGGGACUGAGAUACGGCCCAGAAUUCUACGGGAGGCAACAGGGGGGAAUAUUGCACAAUGGGCGGAAGCGUGAUGCAGCAACGCCGCGUGCGGGAUGACGACCUUCGGGUUGUAAACAGCUUUCGCCUGUGACGAAGCGUGAGUGACGGUAAUGAGUAAAGAAGCAACGGCUAACUACGUG
rnacentral:rRNA from 1 species